UACGUAGGGUGCAAGCGUUUGUCCGGAAUUAUUGGGCGUAAAGGGCUCGUAGGCGGCCAACUAAGUCGGAUGUGAAAUCCCCAGGCUCAACUUGGGAACUGCAUCCGAUACUGGAUGGCUUGAAUUCGGGAGAGGGAUGCAGAAUUCCAGGUGUAGCGGUGAAAUGCGUAGAUAUCUGGAGGAAUACCGGUGGCGAAGGCGGCAUCCUGGACCGACAUUGACGCUGAGGAGGCGGAAAAGCUAGGGGAGACAAACGGGAUUAAGAU
rnacentral:rRNA from 1 species